GACGGAGGAUGCAAGCGUUAUCCGGAAUUAUUGGGCGUAAAGCGUCCGCAGGUGGACAUACAAGUCUGCUGUCAAAGUGCAGAGCUUAACUCUGUAAAGGCGGUGGAAACUGUAGGUCUUGAGUAUGGUAGGGGUAGAGGGAAUUCCCGGUGUAGCGGUGAAAUGCGUAGAUAUCGGGAAGAACAUCGGUGGCGAAAGCGCUCUACUGGACCGCAACUGACACUCAGGGACGAAAGCUAGGGGAGCGAAUGGG
rnacentral:rRNA from 1 species